rnacentral:rRNA from 1 species
CAGCCGCCACGGUAAUACAGAGGGUGCGAGCGUUAAUCGGAUUUACUGGGCGUAAAGCGUGCGUAGGCGGCUUCUUAAGUCGGAUGUGAAAUCCCUGAGCUUAACUUAGGAAUUGCAUUCGAUACUGGGAAGCUAGAGUAUGGGAGAGGAUGGUGGAAUUCCAGGUGUAGCGGUGAAAUGCGUAGAGAUCUGGAGGAAUACCGAUGGCGAAGGCAGCCAUCUGGCCUAAUACUGACGCUGAGGUACGAAAGCAUGGGGAGCAAACAGGAUUAGAUACCCGUGUAGUCCCUGUCUCUUAUAC